ensembl:lncRNA
UCCAUGAAAGGUUUCAGGAAGCUGGAUCUGCUGAAUUAUGACGUGGCAGCUGGGGCAGUCUGUGACAACAGACACUGGACACUCAUUAUAAUGUAUCUGAAAGAAAUGUGGGCUGUCUUUGUUGACCCAUUUGGGGCAACACAAGCACAACUCGAUAGGUGCAGGGAUGUGACAAGGUACGCACAACAGGCUAAUGUUAACCACAGCAGUCAGAUUUCUAACUUGUACAUGUGGAUCACAUAAGGCUGCUGCACUGGAUGACAUUCAGUACCUGUUCCUUUUCUUGUUUUUUGUACUCAUCUGUUUUUUCUUUUUUUUAACAUUUGAAAGAGCUCUGGUUAGACGGAAAUGUCCAGCCAUCGGCAAAUGGACAUGCUCAACUGUUGCCCAU